GCGCCUGUAGCUUAAUGGAUAGAGCAUUAGUCUUCGGAACUAAGGGUUGCGAGUUCGACUCUCGCCGGGCGCA
rnacentral:tRNA from 1 species